rnacentral:rRNA from 1 species
GACGAACGCUGGCGGCGUGCCUAAUACAUGCAAGUAGAACAGUUGCGAACGGGUGAGUAACGCGUAGGAACCUGCCUCAUAGCGGGGGAAAAACAUUGGAAAAGAUAGCUAAUACCGGAAACAGUGAGAUGGACCUGCGUUGGAUUAGCUAGUGGGUGAGGUAAAGGCUCACCAAGGCGACGAUACAUACCCGGCCUGAGAGGUUGAGCGGCCACACUGGAACUGAGACACGGCCCAGACUCCUACGGGAGGCAGCAGUGGGGAAUAUUGCACAAUGGGGGAAACCCUGAUGCAGCCAUGCCGCGUGUGUGAAGAAGGCCUUCGGGUUGUAAAGCACUUUCAGCGAGGAGGCGUUACUCGCAGAAGAAGCACCGGCUAACUCCGUGCCAGCAGCCGCGGUAAUAC